rnacentral:rRNA from 1 species
CGCGCGAUACAGGGUGACAGCCCCGUACACAAAAGCGCAUGUGCUGUGAGCUCGAUGAGUAGGGCGGGACACGUGGUAUCCUGUCUGAAUAUGGGGGGACCAUCCUCCAAGGCUAAAUACUCCUGACUGACCGAUAGUGAACCAGUACCGUGAGGGAAAGGCGAAAAGAACCCCGGCGAGGGGAGUGAAAAAGAACCUGAAACCGUGUACGUACAAGCAGUGGGAGCACCCUUUGGGGUGUGACUGCGUACCUUUUGUAUAAUGGGUCAGCGACUUAUAUUCUGUAGCAAGGUUAACCGUAUAGGGGAGCCGUAGGGAAACCGAGUCUUAACCGGGCGUUAAGUUGCAGGGUAUAGACCCGAAACCCGGUGAUCUAGCCAUGGGCAGGUUGAAGGUUGGGUAACACUAACUGGAGGACCGAACCGACUAAUGUUGAAAAAUUAGCGGAUGACCUGUGGCUGGGGGUGAAAGGCCAAUCAAACCGGGAGAUAGCUGGUUCUCCCCGAAAGCUAUUUAGGUAGCGCCUCGUGAAUUCAUCUCCGGGGGUAGAGCACUGUUUCGGCUAGGGGGCCAUCCCGGCUUACCAACCCGAUGCAAACUGCGAAUACCGGAGAAUGUUAUCACGGGAGACACACGGCGGGUGCUAACGUCCGUCGUGAAGAGGGAAACAACCCAGACCGCCAGCUAAGGUCCCAAAGUCAUGGUUAAGUGGGAAACGAUGUGGGAAGGCCCAGACAGCCAGGAUGUUGGCUUAGAAGCAGCCAUCAUUUAAAGAAAGCGUAAUAGCUCACUGGUCGAGUCGGCCUGCGCGGAAGAUGUAACGGGGCUAAACCAU